rnacentral:rRNA from 1 species
GACGAACGCUGGCGGCGUGCUUAACACAUGCAAGUCGAACGGAAAGGCCUGCUUUCCCUUGUGGAUUGCGGGUACUCGAGUGGCGAACGGGUGAGUAACACGUGUGUGAUCUGCCCCCAACUUGGGCAUAAGCCUGGGAAACUGGGUCUAAUUCCCGAUAGGACUGCAGGGUGGUGCCUGUGGUGGAAAACGAUUUUCUAGUGGUUGGGGAUGAGCUCGCGGCCUAUCAGCUUGUUGGUGGGGUAAUGGCCUACCAAGGCGGCGACGGGUAGCCGGCCUGAGAGGGUGGACGGCCACAUUGGGACUGAGAUACGGCCCAGACUCCUACGGGAGGCAGCAGUGGGGAAUAUUGCACAAUGGGCGGAAGCCUGAUGCAGCGACGCCGCGUGGGGGAUGACGGCCUUCGGGUUGUAAACUCCUUUCGACCGCGAGGAAGCCACCUGGUUGGAAGGGUGGUGACGGUAGUGGUAGAAGAAGCACCGGCUAACUACGUG